rnacentral:rRNA from 1 species
UACGAAGGGGGCUAGCGUUGUUCGGAAUUACUGGGCGUAAAGCGCGCGCAGGUGGUCUUUCAAGUCAGUGGUGAAAGCCCGGAGCUCAACUCCGGAAAUGCCAUUGAAACUGUAAGACUUGAGGAUGAGAGAGGUGAGUGGAAUUCCCAGUGUAGAGGUGAAAUUCGUAGAUAUUGGGAAGAACACCGGUGGCGAAGGCGGCUCACUGGCUCAUAUCUGACGCUCAGGCGCGAUAGCGUGGGGAUCAAACAGG